CUCUCUCUCUCUCUCAUAGCAUCUGGUAACAAUGCCUGAUACCUUAUGAUUAAAGUGCAUUGUCCUAAUAAGAUAAGAAAUAUACAGACCAUCUAUAGCUUUUUAUUUCUUUAUUUAUUAUCUAGUGAAAUGGAUCUAUAUACAGGACAAUGAGACAUGAAUAUACAAUGAACUUUUAGAGAUACAUAAUUAUGAAGGGUUAUUUAAAUGAUGAAAGGGGCUUGUAGUGUGUGAAUUAGCUCUCCUUGUAGUGGUGUUGGAACCUAUACAAGAUGUACAAUUAGAAUCAAACUCCUUAUAAGUGUAUUGAACUGCCCCUUAAAUAAGAAAAUAAAAAAAAUCACUGAGUAUACACAUUUGAAUUAUUGCCCAAUUUCAUGUUUUUUGGUGUUUUUUCAAUAUAUAUUUUUUUUAAGAUGGUUUGAGAUAGAUAGAUAGAUAGAUAGAGAGAGAGAUAGAGAGAGAAGGGAGAAGGAGGAAGGGGACAGAAAAAGAGAAGGGAGGGAAUGGAGGAGAGAGGGAGGAAAUGGAGAAGGAAGAGGGGAAGAAAGGGAGAUACGAAGAGAGAGAUAGAGAAAUGGAGAGGAGGAGAAAGAAGGGAGAUGAGAGGAAGGAAGGGAGAGAGAGAAGGAGGAGGAAGGGAGAGAGAAGAGAAGAAAGGGAGAGAAAGAGAGAGAAAGAGGGAGAGGAAAGAUGUUUUGCAUAUUCUAAAACACACACACACACACACACACACCAUAUCACUAGUCAAAUUGUUCCCAUAUUCUCAUUAUAAAUUAAUUACAAUGAAGGUGGUAGGUAGGGAGGUGGACUAUGAGGUCACUGAAGAGGUCAUUAUACAAGGAUUAUGAUUUUGUUAAUACUAUAGGCUUUUGUAAUGAUAGGUCAGGUAAGGUAAGGUAAGGUAAGGUAAGGUUAGGUUAGGUUAGGUUAGGUUAGGUUAGGUUAGGUUAGGUUAGGUUAGGUAAGGUUAGGUAAGGUUAGGUUAGGUUAGGUAAGGUUAGGUAAGGUUAGGUUAGGUAAGGUUUUAACAAACAAAAACAAACAAAUAAAUAAAAUAAAUAAAUAAAUAAAUACAUUUUCGACCUAUCCAUGUUAUCUGGUGCCUCAAUACAUCAAUAAAUAAAACAAAUAAAUAACAAAAACACACAUUU